rnacentral:rRNA from 1 species
GAUGAACGCUGGCGGCGUGCCUAAUACAUGCCAGUCGAGCGAACAGACGAGGAGCUUGCUCCUCUGACGUUAGCGGCGGACGGGUGAGUAACACGUGGAUAACCUACCUAUAAGACUGGGAUAACUUCGGGAAACCGGAGCUAAUACCGGAUAAUAUAUUGAACCGCAUGGUUCAAUAGUGAAAGACGGUUUUGCUGUCACUUAUCGAUGGAUCCGCGCCGCAUUAGCUAGUUGGUAAGGUAACGGCUUACCAAGGCGACGAUGCGUAGCCGACCUGAGAGGGUGAUCGGCCACACUGGAAGUGAAACACGGUCCAGACUCCUACGAGAGGCAGCAGUAGGGAAUCUUCCGCAAUGGGCGAAAGCCUGACGGAGCAACGCCGCGUGAGUGAUGAAGGUCUUCGGAUCGUAAAACUCUGUUAUUAGGGAAGAACAAAUGUGUAAGUAACUAUGCACGUCUUGACGGUACCGGGUCAGAAAGCCACGGCUAACUACGUG